AUCACUAUUCCCUUGAUAGUGUGGUUUUAGAUAAAUCUAUUCUCUGAUAAAAUUUGUGGGCAUACGUAAGGUUCUAAGCCUACACCUUUUUUUUUUCUAAACAUUCCUACCUAUCUGUUGCACAACGAAUGGAAGAGCAGCCAAUCCAAGUCUUUACUAGUUCUAUCUAUGCAAUUCUUUAGUUUUAUUUUCAGUUGAGUAUGAAAUCGCUUAUUGCAUAUGCUCAUGAAACAUACUCUGAAGAAGCUGCAUAUCAUGUGUUCGGUGGAAUGCCUAUGAGAGAUGUUCAGGCCCUGCUAUUGUUUUACAAACCUGCAUUUCGUCGGCAAACGCAGCUGCAAGCUCUGCAGGAAACAUGUAUAUUUUUUAUUUCGGUUUGCAAAUCUAUACUUGGAUUUCCUGGGAAUUAUUACUUGCUUAAAUGUUCGUCUCUAUCAGUAGAUGAUACUGGAGAUGUAUAUUCUGUUGUUAAAUUUCACUGACAGGAAAAACCAUCUAAGUGGAUGUUUGAUCAGAACAGCAAAGGAAAAGCUGUAAAAGCCAUCAAAGUGGACGUUUGAUCAGAAUAGCAACACGGAAAAGCCGUGUAAGUAAACCUCUACUGCAUCCUUAGACGGGUUAUUUUCUUUUUUCAAAUCUUUAAUUGUUGAUGUGCAGUUAUUAUUAUUUUGGUUCCCUAGAAGGACCAAUAAUGAUCUCCCUCAUGUUAUGCAAGAUGGUUUCCUAAUGGGAUUGAAGAGGAUGGAAUUGGUUCCUUCUUUAGAAGGCACAAACAAUGGUGUUGCAAGUACUGCAGCCUAUGGGUAGCUAAAUGCCCCUUCAUAAAUAAUAUCAUGAUCUCAUCAACUCAUCAUAAUGAAGAGUAUUUAUCAGGUUUUUCAUUGAUAUGGACUAUCGGAAUAUAACUAGCCGAUUGGAGUCUUGUUAAGUUGGCGAAAUUUGUCCUUCAUAUCACAGAUGGUCAAGCAGAUAAGUUUUCCCCCUCCCAUCUUUUCAUUGCAUUUAAAGCAGGCUGAUAUGAUCUGAUCUAAAACUAAAAGGCACUGCAACAACCUUUUUUCUAAAAAUGGUUGCAGCUGUUAUUGAUAUUAUACUUGGAUUGAAAAAUGAACUACCCUAUAUUAUAAGCCACAUAUAUUCUUUACCAUACAUAUGCAAGACUAUUGUUCAGUGGAGGAAAUGCCCUGUCAGCUCAGCAUUUUUAUAGACACCAUAUGACCAAUAUUCCUUCUCAUAUAUGUGAAUGACCAAUAUUCCUUCUCAGCAUUUUGAUUACUACAUGCAUUGGAAUUGAUGCACUGCUUUGCAAAUUCCUGUCUGCUAAUUCAUUUUUCCAUCCCACUAUCGUUAGUCUAUUCUUCAGUUCCCAUUCAUUUUAUUUUUGCCUCUUGUGUGAGAUGUGUUCUGCAAACUGAUGUCGUCUUUCAUAGGCAAGUUUAGUGUAUUCUUUAGAACUGGCAUAGAUCCUAGAUAUUUUUAAAUGUAGGAUAUUACAACAAUUAUUUGAUUAUUUGACUUACAAUAA